AUUGAACGCUGGCGGAAUGCUUUACACAUGCAAGUCGAACGGCAGCACGGGAGCUUGCUCCUGGUGGCGAGUGGCGAACGGGUGAGUAACAUAUCGGAACGUAUCCAAUAAUGGGGGAUAACUAAGCGAAAGCUUGGCUAAUACCGCAUACGCCCUGAGGGGGAAAGCUAGGGAUCUUCGGACCUGGCGUUAAUGGAGCGGCCGAUAUCUGAUUAGCUAGUUGGUGAGGUAAAGGCUCACCAAGGCGACGAUCAGUAGCUGGUCUGAGAGGAUGAUCAGCCACACUGGAACUGAGACACGGUCCAGACUCCUACGGGAGGCAGCAGUGGGGAAUUUUGGACAAUGGGGGAAACCCUGAUCCAGCCAUUCCGCGUGAGUGAAGAAGGCCUUCGGGUUGUAAAGCUCUUUCGGCAGGGAAGAAACGCUCUGGAUUAAUACUCCGGGGUAAUGACGGUACCUGAAGAAGAAGCACCGGCUAACUACGUGCCAGCAGCCGCCGUAAUAC
rnacentral:rRNA from 1 species